rnacentral:tRNA from 1 species
AGCUUUAUAGUCAUUAAUGAUAUUAGACUGCAAUUCUAGAGGAGUAGAAAUUCUACUAAGGCUU